CACGUGAAAGCUAAAGCAUAGUUAAUACGCCCCCACGUGAAAGCUAAAGCUCUGACGAGUGGUGUGUCCGGUCGAUUCCACUCCACAAGCCAUCAAGUCCCAAGAAAUGAGCCGAGUUGGAGGAGAGGGAGCUCUGGCCGUGGUGCUCGCGCAAGCCGCCGCCAUGACGCCGGCGCCCAAGACGGAGCUGCCGCCGCCGCAGGCCGACCUCGACUUCCCCAUCUUCUUCGACAAGACCAAGGUUUUCGAGCUCCUCCACUGCCAUGUGUGCCGCAAUCCCCUCAAGCCCCCAAUCUUCAAGUGCGAAUCGGGGGGGCACCUGAUCCUGAUGUGCGCGGCGCGCACCGCGGGGCCUGCGCCGGCGCCGAGGCCAUUGCCGGCGCCGCCAGGGUGAGCUGCGGCAACGAGAGGUUUGGCUGCGACGUGGCCUACCACGACGCCGAAGCCCACCGCCGGGCCUGUAUCCACGCGCCCUGCGGCCCUAUCGAGUAAUUUGAGGCCCUGGUGCAAAAAGCAAAAUGAGGCCCUAAAAUAACAAAUGCAGCAUAACCAAAGUUGGAUGAACUAGAGAACCUUGACUUAUUGCCAUCUGGAAUUCUUAUUUCUAGCGUUGCUGCAAACAAUCAGAAUUUAUGAGUUGGGUGAGUUUGUACCAAAUUUGCUUUACUAAUUUUUUCCAACCAUUGGCUAAGCCAAAAGAUGGUCAAGAAUUUAUUUUCCAUUUUCCAAA